CAGGAACAGACAAGAAUCCCCAGGGCAAAAUGGCUAGCGAGACUAUCCAUGUUGGAGAGUUCUGGGUUCAACUGAGAAACCCUGCUAUGUCAUUGAAAAAGAAGGAGAAUAACAGGCACCUCCCCGGGAGACAUGUGCCAACAAGUCCAGAUACAUUGUGCACGUUAGAAGCCAUUGUGUCAUCGAUGGCUGGUGCUGUGAUUAGAAGCAUGUGCCAUCACAUCAGCUCAAUUCUACAGUGCUGAUUUUCCUGUAUUGCUGUCAAUAGACGGUCUUAGUCUGUAUUUUUAUUGUUGUGAAGAGACAUCAUGAUCACAGC